rnacentral:rRNA from 1 species
ACAGAGGUCCCGAGCGUUGUUCGGAAUUACUGGGCGUAAAGCGCGCGUAGGCGGCUUUGCAAGUUAGAGGUGAAAGCCCGGGGCUCAACCCCGGAAUUGCCUUUAAAACUGCAUCGCUAGAGUUGUGGAGAGGUAAGUGGAAUUCCGAGUGUAGAGGUGAAAUUCGUAGAUAUUCGGAAGAACACCAGUGGCGAAGGCGACUUACUGGACACAUACUGACGCUGAGGUGCGAAAGCGUGGGGAGCAAACAGGA